AUUGAACGCUGGCGGCAGGCCUAACACAUGCAAGUCGAGCGGAGCGGCGGAAGGGUGAGUAAUGCCUAGGAAUUUGCCUGGUAGUGGGGGAUACCGUCCGGAAACGGGCGCCAUUACCGCAUACUAUCAGAUGAGCCUCGGUCGGAUUAGCUAGUUGGGGGGGUAAAGGCCUACCAAGGCGACGAUCCGUAACUGGUCUGAGAGGAUGAUCAGUCACACUGGAACUGAGACACGGUCCAGACUCCUACGGGAGGCAGCAGUGGGGAAUAUUGGACAAUGGGCGAAAGCCUGAUCCAGCCAUGCCGCGUGUGUGAAGAAGGUCUUCGGAUUGUAAAGCACUGUAAGUUGGGAGGCGUUACCAACAGAAUAAGCACCGGCUAACUUCGUGCCAGCAGCCGCGGUAAUUC
rnacentral:rRNA from 1 species